GUGGGCUGGGCUUUAUUGCAUCGUGGUAUGCUUUAUUUUUUUUCUCAUUUGUAUCGACCCGAGUAAGACGGAAGUGACGAGGAUCUUUACCUUUUCAUCUUCUCCGCUUGAAACCCUACUGAUAGAGUUCUAAUGAAUCCCCUUCUUCACAAUCAAAACUCCACUUUACUUUGAUCCAUUUCAUGAAGACAUGUAUGAAAAUAGUAUCUAAUGACAUGGAGGAGGAUCCGGCCAUGGUGGUGGAUUUGGAGCGGGAGGAGGAUUCGGUGGUGUUGGAGGAGUUGGUGGUGGAGGUGGUGGCGGCAGAGGAGGUGGUGCUGGUGGUGGAUCUGGUCAUGGUGGUGGUUUUAGAGUUGGAGGGGUAGUUGGUGGUAGAGCGGGAGGAGGUGUUGGGGGAGGCGGUGGACUAGGUGGUGGUGGAGGAGGUGGUGUGGGCGGUGGAUAUGGACAUGGUGGUGGAUUUGGUGCUGGUGGAGGUCAUGGGAUAGGACAUGGCGGAGGAGGAGGCUUUGGGAUUGGAAUAGGAAUCGGUGUUGGGGUUGGUGGAGGCUCAAGGUUCUGGCAACGGAAGCGGUAGUAGCGGUGGCGGAAACCGUUAAUCAGAGCUCAUAUUAACACACUCGUGAUUUAGUGCACUCGACAGUUCAACUACUAGGACGUACUUGUGAUUCUACUUUACACAGUAGCUACCAUUGAAUACAUUGAAGCAUAUCAAUUACAAGUGAGAGGAAACAAGCUUUCUAUGAAGAAACUAAAAGAUACCCAACGCAUGUUCAUCCUUGAAGACCUAUUAAACUGAAGUGGAGAUGUAUAAAGAAGAGAAUGAAAGGACAUGGUUGGAAAAAUUUCAUAAAUCAUACAUCAUAUUGGAGUAUUGGAUACAGCCUACUUAAAUAUCUUACUGUUGCAAUUCAGAAGAGAAUACCUUCGUUGUUAAUAAAUGUAAUCACAUUCUCAUAAGUUACUCAUCUGAACAAUAUUGACUUGCUGUUAGUGUUUUUAUUUUCAGCCAA